GUGUACGUAGCAUAACUGGUAAUGCACACGACUGUGAAUCGUGCCAAUGUGGGUUCAAAUCCCAUCGUACACCCCA
rnacentral:tRNA from 1 species